UUAGUGGCGGACGGGUGAGUAACGCGUGGGUAACCUGCCUCAUACAGGGGGAUAACAGUUGGAAACGACUGCUAAGACCGCAUAACCCGCUAGUGUCGCAUGACACGGACGGAAAAAUAUUUAAUUUUAACGAGUUAAAAUUUGGUAUGAGAUGGGCCCGCGUCUGAUUAGCUAGUUGGUAAGGUAACGGCUUACCAAGGCGACGAUCAGUAGCCGACUUGAGAGAGUGAUCGGCCACAUUGGGACUGAGACACGGCCCAAACUCCUACGGGAGGCAGCAGUGGGGAAUAUUGGACAAUGGGGGAAACCCUGAUCCCAGCGACGCCGCGUGAGUGAAGAAGUAUUUCGGUAUGUAAAGCUCUAUCAGCAGGGAAGAUAAUGACAGUACCUGACUAAGAAGCCCCGGCUAACUACGUGCCAGCCGCCGC
rnacentral:rRNA from 1 species